AGAGUGGUCUUUCCUUCGGGAGGCCAUUCACAGGUGUAUGCAUGGCUGUCGUCAGCUCGUGUUGUGAGGUGUUGGGUUAAGUCCCUUAACGAGCGAACCCCUUUUCCUUAUUUGCCAACAGGUUAUGCUGAGAACUAUAAGAAGCCUGCCGUCGAAAGGCGGAGGAAGGAGAGGAUGAUGUCAAAUCAUCAUGUCCCUUUAUGGGAUGGGCUACACACGUGCUACAAUGGGGUGUACAAAGUGUUGCAAUGUAGUGAUACGGAGCCAACCACUAAAGCACUCCUCAGUACGGAUUGAGGCUUGCAACUCAGCCUCAUGAAGCUGGAAUCGCUAGUAAUCGUGGAUCAGAAUGCCGCGGUGAAUACGUUCCUGGGUUUUGCACACACUGCCCGUC
rnacentral:rRNA from 1 species